ACAAUGGAUCAAACCCCUCGAGCUCAGCCCAACCCGACUCUCUCUCUCUCUCUCUCUCUCUCUCUCUCUCUCUCUCUCUCUCCACAUUGGCGAAGCUGCAUUGCGCGAGCAACUGAGACAUGAAGCGAAGUUGGGUUCGUCAAUGGCGGGGGUGAAAUACGGAGGACGGGUUAUUUCUGGGAAAUUCACCUGUUUAAACGGUUGCUCGGAAAGUGAAGGAAAACGACGAGGGUGAAGAACGCGAGAUGUAUUAUUCAAGCGCAAAAGAUUUGUUUUUUUUUUCUCUCCCUCUCUCUGUUUGGUUUCUGGGAAAAAGGAAAGAAAAUGCAAUCAGGUGAACGCAAGAUGGUUUCAGGUUUGACUACAGGGAAUGAGAGGUUCAAUGAAGUGAAACAAAAUCAGUGGCUCAUCACUAGGGUUGGAAUCCUUGAUGGUAUUUUAUUUUAAACUCCACCAAGAUAGUAUCAAGACUUUCAAAAGAGAAGGUAAGAGAACUGGAAAGAGUAAAAGGGGCUGAACCUCUUCUUUCCUUGCCGGUUGAGUGAAAAGCCAUUAGCCAUGAACAUCGUCUUCGACUCUCUGCAUGAAGAUGCACAUAUAAGGUUUCCUAUGCAAGAGAAAUACCACCAUCAGCGAGCAAGCCACUAAGGCAUGGAUGAUGGUGCUAUCUCUCCUGCGAAGCAAACCUUUUUUGCAUUGCUGAAUCCACAGAGAAAGCUAAUCAAUAAUGGUUGAUGAACCUUCUAUUAGACUCAAACCCUCUACAUAUAUCACCAUGAGAAACCUAAGAGGCAACUAGUAUCAGAAAUUCACUAUGAUUGUUGCUCUUGUCAUUUAGUUUGCUGCUUUCUAUGUGGCUGCAAUCAAAUGACAGGGGAUUAUUAUCCGAAUGAGGUCAUCUUGUAUACGUCAUCCGCUGUGAUUUGGCAUUAACUUCAUUUCCAACAUGCUGCAUUGAUUUUUCUAUUUCCUUUUCAUGUAUAUAUGGUAAAAGGCAGCUUUGCUUCUUUUGGAUAACUGAGCUCCUGGAUUUGCACAUGUCCUUGGUACAUUACCACAUGUGAUUAUCAUGUAAAUUCUUAUGCUUUGUUCAUUUGCUGGAAUACAUUCAGCAAAAGCAGAGUUUUUCGGUUCCAUAGCAUCUGGAUGGUAAAGGGUAUAAUCAUGGUCCCAUGGAAAGUAUUAAACAGUUGAAUUUUUUUGCUUAACUUGUCAUUCAGUGAUAUGCUAUACCAUGAGCAGGUCUGGGAUGGAGACUCAAUCAUAGGACGAGCCACUGGAUUGUUUCUGCAUAUGAGUGAAAAAGAGAACCAUAAAGAAGCAAAAGAAUCAAAUCCCAGGUUGUUCUUAUGCAUUGUCAUGCGGAGAAAAGAUAAAUCAAAUCUUUCCUUCAAAAUACAAGGGAAUGCUACCAACAACUCUUAGUGGCAACUAUGGGUUUCCUCUCUGCCUCUCCAGGAUCACAGCACAGCACUUGUUGGAUGUUUCCAGAGAGACAGCUGAGCAUGAGCAGAGAAGGAAAGGGAUGACGACGGUGAUGAAGAAGAAGAAAAGGAGAUCAGAAGGUGAGAAUGUGCCAAGGGAUGGUGAAUCACAGCUUCAAGAGAUGAGAGAAGAUCAGGAAGUGAAAGAUGUUGUUGCUCUGUUAAAAGAUCUUGGGUGGCCUUCUUCUCCCCAUCACACAGCCAGAGCAGCUUAGUAGCUAUAGUCUUAGUUCUUGGACUUAGCUUCAGUUUAAUGGACCAUGCAUGUCUUUGUUAUAUAUUGCUGUUGGAGCCACUGCAAGUAGACAAGGUUCAUAAGCUUUGUUUUGGUGUUUUUUUUUUGUUGUUGAUGAUGAAUUCACUGCAAGUUGCCUAUAGGUUUAUUCAGCCUGAUCUUUUUGUGAUGGAUGUUUUUUUUUUGGGUUUGGUGUGGAACACUCAAGUCUUUUGUAAGAUACGGUGUGUGGUGGUACGAUGAUGUGCGUUGCCUCUUCUAGUUCU